UACAGAGGUCUCAAGCGUUGUUCGGAUUCAUUGGGCGUAAAGGGUGUGUAGGUGGCGCCGUAAGUCGGGUGUGAAAUUUCGGAGCUUAACUCCGAAACUGCAUUCGAUACUGCGGUGCUUGAGGACUGGAGAGGAGACUGGAAUUCAUGGUGUAGCAGUGAAAUGCGUAGAGAUCAUGAGGAAGACCAGUGGCGAAGGCGGGUCUCUGGGACGAGUUC
rnacentral:rRNA from 1 species